rnacentral:rRNA from 1 species
UACGUAGGGUGCAAGCGUUGUCCGGAAUCAUUGGGCGUAAAGCGCGCGUAGGUGGCUUCGUAAGUCCGUUGUGAAAGUCAAAGGCUCAACCUUUGAAUGCCGAUGGAUACUGCGAAGCUAGAGUACGGAAGAGGCGAGUGGAAUUCCUGGUGUAGCGGUGGAAUGCGCAGAUAUCGGGAGGAACACCAGUGGCGAAGGCGGCACGUCUGGGCCGGUAC